GACGAACCGUGCGAACGUUGUUCGGAAUCACUGGGCUUAAAGGGCGCGUAGGCGGUUGACCAAGUCUGGGGCGAAAUCUUUCGGCUUAACCGGAAAAGUGCCUUGGAUACUGGUCAGCUGGAGGGAGGUAGGGGCAGUUGGAACUUCCAGUGGAGCGGUGAAAUGCGUUGAUAUUGGAAGGAACGCCGGUGGCGAAAGCGAGCUGCUGGACCUCUUCUGACGCUGAGGCGCGAAAGCUAGGGGAGCAAACAGG
rnacentral:rRNA from 1 species